GGAAGAAAGAAAGAAAGAAAAAGUAGUGAAGGAUUUGUUCCUGGGAAGGGGAGGUGAAGUUUUCCCGGAAUAAGAUUCUUAUUUUGUUUUAAAAUAUGGAUCCUGGGGGUGGAUAUGAAGGCGGAGGGGCCUUUGGCGGCGGAAAGACGGGAAGAGAAGUGGAUCCGUUGGUUUUUCUUAAAAAGCCUCAUGUUGUUUUGAGAAUCGUUGCAUUGCUAUCUGCUAUCAUCGUCUUCGGGUGUGUCUCAUCUCAAGGAUGGACUUACGAUCAAGCAGACAUGAAGGAAGUGUGCAUCCUCAAUGAUAGUUCUUCAGCAUGUCAUUUUCCAACGGCUGUUGGAAUCAUUGGAUUCCUGGCAUCUAUUGGUUUUCUUGUUGGAGAAUGGUUCUUUGAGCAAAUGAGUUCCAUCAAAACAAGGAAGCACUACGUUCUUCUUGAUCUCGGAUUCUCUAUUGUCUGGGCCUUCUUUUACUUAAUAGCGUUUUGUGUCCUUGUUUACUCCUGGCACAACACAGAUAAAAAGAUGAGCUAUGCUUCCUCCAACAUCUAUGGAUCAAUGUUUUUUAGCCUUGUGUCUAUUGCAUGCUGGGGAGGAUCUGCUUUUUUUGCUUUUCAAAGAUACCAACAAGGCUCCGGGGCAGCAUUUACCCAGGGAAUAGGCGAACAGGAUAUGAUGGAUCCUGGAGGAGCUGGUUAUACCACAGGAGGUAUGGAUGAUGAAGGUGGUUAUACUGAGGCUCCAUUUAGCGGAGGAAGCCAGCAAGGUACUGACGAUUAUGGAAGAUUUUAAAACCGUUGUUAAUUGCAAUUAUUUUCACUUUGCACUAAUCUGCAAAAACAUGUAAAAUCUCUUAUGAGUCUAAAUUUGUAUCAAAUCAAUAUCAUCAAAUUAAAAUUCAAGGGAUGGGAUAUCAACAACCAACGUACUAAAAGGGGCUGUAAUUAUAUUAUAGCUAGCAUUAUCCCCUAAUUAUACAGACAAACUCAUAUCUUAACUCUUUCUUGUUAUUUUCCUUUACAUCUAAAAUAUAUUUAAUAUUAGUUAAAUGUGAAAAUUGUAGAUACCUCUAAUUACAAACUAUAAAUUGUUUUAUUUUUAACUUCUUAGUUUAUUGUUAUAUCAUAUGUCUGAUUUUAUUAUUAUACAAUAUUUAGUAUAUGUUGGCUUAUGUUCAUUAUAAAUAAUUGCUUGUUUAUUUAAUAUUCGUUACUAAAAUAAUACUAGUAACUUCUUUGGAUUCAAAGAAACUUUUCAUUUGUAUAAAAUAUGUAUCUGUUACGAGAAGCUUUUUAAAUUUCUAAGGAAACUCGAGAAGGUUUAAUGGAAGACGUCCAUCAAUUACCUAAUAAAGAAAAUAUCACAAUAAUAACAGCAAAAAAGUUCAGCAAAUUAAUUAAUUAACAUCACUUAAGUUAUUUUUCGUUGGGUUGGUUCAGCAAAUUCUUACAAAAAAUUAACAUCAUAUAAAACACGGCGAAAAGUAUCUAAUAAAAAUAUCACUCAAAUAAAUUAAAUUUUCUCAAAAACUAAUGAUAUUUUAAAAUGUUCUCACAUAUUUUUGUAUAUAAAGCUUAUUUCUUCUCUACUCCUCCCGCCCCAUCUUGUUACCUUUAUCCCUACUAAACUAUUUACUCAUUUUAUUACCCAUCUUUUUUUUCUUUUUUUUUUGAGUAUGAAUGUUAUAACUUAAUAAUAUUAUAAUUACUUUUAUCAUUUAUUCCAAGUUAGGCUUUAGUAAAUUCUAUUUAUAAAAUAAAAUACAUAACGACUUUACAGUAAAAAAAUAAAUAUAUAUAAUACAUGUUGCAGAAUCCAUAAAGUAUAAAUUUAAGUUUUUAGUCAAAUAGUUUUUUAAAGAACAGAAAAAAAGUAUUACUUUCAACAAUUUACACUGUUUGUUAAUAAGUACAUAAUAUCCAUGUGUUUAAAUGCCACUUUCUUUUUUUUUUCUUUUUUUGUAAAAAAAUGGUCAAUUGAAAAACUUUGUUAAAAUAUUGGAAAGAUGGUACCAUAAAAAAAUAAAUAGGAUCCAUUUUUAUUAUUAAGAUCUUGUUAAUUAUGCUAAAAUAUAAUUUUUUUUGUCAAAAUUUUUCAAAGAUGUAAUUUUUUGUAUUAUUAUGCCUCUUGUCAAUAAUAAACUCCUCUUUUCAUUAUUUUUUUCAAUGAAA
rnacentral:misc_RNA from 1 species